CCUGGGUAGAACCUCCACCCUCUGAGUAGGGACCUCAGAGAGAAAGGGAGCCCUCAAUGUCUCAGCUGCACUGACCGUAAAUUCAGCCUCUGCAACUCAGAGUUGGAAGCCUCCAGUCAAAUACUGAAUGUCUAUUAUGAGGAUGGACCAGCAGGCCUAUUUUACAGAUGAAUCAAAGACGGGUCAGCAAAUCUCAGAAACAGAAAAGGAAACCAAUACAAGGCAGAAGUUGCUCCAGUUAAUACGAAGAAUUCAAGGUGUCCAGCUUCCUGUCACGGCCCC